rnacentral:rRNA from 1 species
GAAAGGAUAAAGCAAUCACAAUGUAAGGCAAAAAUGCUGGUUAAAUUGAAGGAUGGGCGGUGGGAAGUAACCCACUUUAUCCGUGAUCAUAAUCAUCCUUUGGUCCCCAAGCAUUCGCUCUCCAAAUACUUGCGAUCUCACAUGGGUAUACCGCCGGAGGAAAAUAAGUUCCUAGAGAUACUCCACAACUACAACCUAACUUCAGGCCGUAUGAUGACUAUCAUGUCAGAGUUUUAUGGCUCGGAGCUAAAUGUACCAUAUGAACCUAAAGCAAUAACAAACUUAUGUGUUGGCUUCUACAAAGACUCAACGAAAGAGGGGGGACAUUAUUGA